UACGUAGGGUGCGAGCGUUAAUCGGAAUUACUGGGCGUAAAGCGUGCGCAGGCGGUUUUUCAAGACCGAUGUGAAAUCCCCGGGCUUAACCUGGGAAUGGCAUUGGUGACUGGAAGGCUAGAGUGUGUCAGAGGGGGGUAGAAUUCCACGUGUAGCAGUGAAAUGCGUAGAGAUGUGGAGGAAUACCGAUGGCGAAGGCAGCCCCCUGGGAUAACACUGACGCUCAUGCACGAAAGCGUGGGGAGCAAACAGG
rnacentral:rRNA from 1 species